rnacentral:tRNA from 1 species
CAGAGGGUAGUUUAAGUAGAAU